GCAGUCGAAACCAUUUAAUUUGAAAAAGGAAUGCGCCCGUUUUUCGCCGUUACAUGUUGCGUUGCAGCCUAAUUUUGGAUCGAGAAUUAAGUGCGACGAAGAUGGCCGUUGAACACGGUUCAGAUUUGGAUAACGACUUCGAAGGCAUUCGCAGGAGACCAAACAGAGAAAGAGAGGGAGACACAAAACCACCUGUCUCGGUGUCACACAUGAGGAGUUGAGGAGGAGAUGAAGUCAGUGAAUAUGACCUGGCCUGGGGGAGUUUCCAGAAGAAGGCCCAGAAUCGCUGGAUGCCAGGAGUGGAGAUCCUUCGUUGCUGCCCUACAUGAUAGGAGGCAUCGGGCAGUAGAUGCUGUAAUUUGAAACGGAAGGUGUCCUGCCAAUAAAUUUUCAUCCCACCUGAACUGCCUUGCCUGCCUGCACCCAGUCAUCUGUUCCUGAGCAUUUUCAUUUUCCUCUAUUUUUCAUCAUCGUUUGUUUCGGCCUGUAUGAAGUGAAUUUCACAUUGAUUGGUGGAGCUGCUAAGUUGGCAUUACAGGGCCACGCCGGGGUAUGAUCCUUUGGGUUGAACAUCAUGACUGCUAGUUGGUCGGCAAAGGUGAUGGGAUCGAUCAAUGUCACAUGGAGUAAGAUCGAUACCAAUCUGCUUUGCUACAUUUCGAACAAUCUCAUACGGAUACGGAUAUUAUUGCGCCAGGAGUACUGCUCGAUGUGGUCAAGCCUAUUUGACAAAGCAUUAUGGUGUUAGUCAUGUUAUCAGAAACCGAUUUUUCAAAAUCACGGAGUUGCUUCAAUUUAGUAUCGAUAGAUAUUUCAAGAACGUGUAGACUAGUGAGCUUUUCAUCAAGAAUUUCACACAAUUUAUUUUCGCGCUUAUCCAUGUCAUCAUUGAGUUUUUGUCUCUCGCGUUCCAUUGCCACGGCCACCGCUCUUUGAACGACUGUAUCAAUAUGAUCUAGGUAUGCUGGGCUUUGUUUAGAUCCAGUUAAUGAUGAAGCAGAGGAUUGUGUACAUGCGUUAGCCGAGUGCAAGCGGCCUCUUGAUCUGGUGGAUAUCUUAGACAUGUUAGAGAUUACGUAAUGAUAUAAUUGAAAAGUGGGAUGGGCUGUGCAUCUGCCAACUCACCAGUCAACCAAUUAGAGACGGCCUUCCAAAGUGACACAGCACGAAAAUAUCAAUAUGGGACUGGUCUAGUCAACACAUAGAUCCUGAAAAAACCAUGGAGACCGCAGAUGCAAAAUGACUUCCAUACAUAAAGAUAUGAUGCACAAUCUCCAGUGGGUUCAAAACACUGAACACAUGCUAUGCUGAUACACAGACUAUCAUAAGAACUUUAUCAAGCAAAGGAAAUCUGGUAUGAAAUCUCUCAGCUCACAUGAAAAGCCUACGUAGCUACAUGUAGGGAAGAAAAUGCGUAAUUGCUGAGAAAUUAGCAAAAUAAGCAUGUAAUUCUAUCAAAUGUCAGGUAUUUUUCGAAUCGAUUAUAAUACACUGUCCCACAUAUAUGCUUUUCUGUGUUUACAGCGAUCAUCAGAAUUAUCGAUUUUAAGUUUAAAAAUUCAUGAUUUUACAAAGAUACAAGUUUACAUUAAUGUACCAGAUGUAGAUUAUGUACAAUAUAUUGACAAUUAACUUUGAUUUUAUAGAUUUUCUCAAGAAAUAGUUGUUUGCUGCAACUACUGUCUUUUCCUUCUAAGUGAUAGUGUAAUACAACAGUUCCACAAACUAUUUUCAUCAGACUUAUUGAUGCAUGAUUCUUUCACCCAAAUGCAAGCUUCCAUAAAUCCUGAAAACUUUGCAACUCAGGUAUUUUUUUUUUUA